rnacentral:rRNA from 1 species
AGGACGAACGCUGGCGGCGUGCUUAGCACAUGCAAGUCGAGCGGUAAGGCCCUUUCGGGGGUACACGAGCGGCGAACGGGUGAGUAACACGUGGGCGACCUGCCCUCAGCUCUGGGAUAAGCCUGGGAAACUGGGUCUAAUACCGGAUAUGACCUUCUCUCGCAGGGGGGUUGGUGGAAAGUUUUUCGGCUGGGGAUGGGCCCGCGGCCUAUCAGCUUGUUGGUGGGGUGAUGGCCUACCAAGGCGACGACGGGUA